GAGACCCUGUUCCAGUGCCUGAUCACGCUCUGGGUGAAGAAACUUUUCCUAAUACCCAACCAAAACCUCUCCUGACAGAGCUUCAGGCCAUUCCCUCAGGUCCUGUCACUGGUCACCAGAGAGAAGAGAUCACUGCCACUCCUCCAGCACUCCCCUAGACCUUUCACCAUCUUUGUAGCCCUCCUUUGGAUGCUUUCUAAUGGCUUUAUUUCUUCUGUUGUGGUGCCCUAAACUGCACAUAGACUUGAGGGUGAGGCCACAGCAGCACAGAACACAGCAGUCUCUUUCCACUCUCUCCAGCCUCUCAUUCCUCAGUCUGUACCUACAUCCAGGGUUUCCUGUUAUAACAUUCCCUGUUAUUUAAUGUGUUUAGCAGGAAAACCACACAGGUGAAUACCUGGCUCAGAGCCUGGUGUUACCAGCGGAAUUUUGGGGGCUUUGAUCACAGGUCAGCUUUCAGGCCUGGUGGCUGCAGUGGGGUGCACCUGUCUCAAAGGGGAGAGGGAUCUCUGCUCAGGAGUCAGCAUGGCUUGUUGAGACAACUGUAAAUUAGAUUUCAAGGAGAAGGGGUUAAGCCUGACUCACUAAGGAUAAGCUUAGGGGCGGCACGCUGGUUUUAGAAGGACAGUUGCAGAGGUAGGAAAUGGUGUCUUUAAUAGUAAUGAAACUGUAGCAAAAGGAGAUGGGAAAAUCUAGUUUCUUGAUAGAAUGCUGUCUGACAAAAAUAGUCAAAAGUCACUUGCAGUUGGCUCUUUUAUGUAGUCUUUAUAGGGAGCUUUUGAUAUAGAUUUCUGAGAAGAAAGACCUGAGUGGCUCUGUACUCCCAUGCACAGUGCUGCCUCCCAAAAUAGGGCCACCCUUCUCCACUUCUGCUCCUUCCAUGCUCAUGCAGAAACAGGAAAUUCAGCAGUGGGCAGACUGAGGAAUUCAGGGACAGUGGAAGCACCUUGGGGAGCCCUGGUGGAGGCUGUGGGCUGUGAGGUCACAGAGCCCCUCUGGCAUGUUCCGUGCCAGCUGGGGGCAAUGCUGCAGCAGCAGCAUGCUGUGAGGAUGGGGGGCAUGGUGCUCACCCAGUGCCUCCUCCUCUUUCUGGUGCUCCUGCAAGCCCAGGACACGCAGCCUGCUCCAGCUGGAGGGCAGGGAGCAGAUGUGGCCAGAGAGAGGGCUUUUCCACCUCCUCAGGAGGAUCCUGUGCUGGUUCCCGGCUUGUAUCACUCGGGAGUCUGUGGCUUUGUAGCUGAGGAGCCAAAGUGCUGCCAAGUUCAAGUGUGUGAGCUACAGCAAAAUGAAGAAACUAAAACCAAAUCAGGAAAACACAGGAAGUAAAUGAACAGAAGUAUUCUGAGCCCUACAAAUUAGCAAUAAACUAGAUAUAAUUAUAUCUGUGCUUUUUGGUCC
rnacentral:lncRNA from 1 species